GGGCGGUUAGCUCAUUUGGUUAGAGCGCGUCUCUGAUAAAGACGAGGUGAAUGGUUCGAAUCCAUUACCGCCCACCA
rnacentral:tRNA from 1 species